rnacentral:rRNA from 1 species
AUUGAACGCUGGUGGCAGGCCUAACACAUGCAAGUCGAGCGGUAGCACAGAGAGCUUGCUCUCGGGUGACGAGCGGCGGACGGGUGAGUAAUGUCUGGGAAACUGCCUGAUGGAGGGGGAUAACUACUGGAAACGGUAGCUAAUACCGCAUAAUGUCGCAAGACCAAAGUGGGGGACCUUCGGGCCUCAUGCCAUCAGAUGUGCCCAGAUGGGAUUAGCUAGUAGGUGGGGUAACGGCCCACCUAGGCGACGAUCCCUAGCUGGUCUGAGAGGAUGACCAGCCACACUGGAACUGAGAAACGGUCCAGACUCCUACGGGAGGCAGCAGUGGGGAAUAUUGCACAAUGGGCGCAAGCCUGAUGCAGCCAUGCCGCGUGUGUGAAGACGGCCUUCGGGUUGUAAAGCACUUUCAGCGGGGAGGAAGGCGUUAAGGUUAAUAACCUUGGCGAUUGACGUUACCCGCAGAAGAAGCACCGGCUAACUCCGUGCCAGCAGCCGCCGUAA